rnacentral:tRNA from 1 species
GCCUGGGUGGCUCAGUCAGUUGAGCGUCUGACUUCAGCUCAGGUCAUAUCACAGCUUAUGGGUUCAAGCCCCGCAUCGGGCU